AGCUUCUGUGUCCUGAAUGUCCAGUUCCCAUCCUUUACAACGCAGAAAAGGCACCUGCUGCUUUGUGGAGCUGAUAUCUAGUUUCCCGGGCUCCCCUCCAUCGUCAGCAGCCACUGCCCGUGCAAAUGUCGGGGCCAGAAGUGGAAGAGGAACAAGAACAAGAAAGAAGAAACGGCAAAAGACCGUGCCAUCAACAUCCCCAAAAGUUUCUGAGGAGAACAACGAUAAAGAAACCAUGACCAAGUCUGCAUCCACCUCAUCAAGGCGGCUUGAGUCCACAUCAGUUACCAGUGCUGGCGCAACAGAAGGCAAAUAGAAACAUUCUGUUGAAAUGUUUUUUUAAAUGUUUUAUUUUAUUAACUAUUCAAGAAACCAAAGUUAUUUCCUGUGCAAAUUGGAAAUAUUGUAUAUUUAAAGAAUGAUAUUUGCACAUUUUAUGUUAUAUUUUAUAUAGGGACAAGCGGUAGAAAAUGGAUGGAUGGAUACAUAUUUAUAUUUAUUCAAGUUAGGUUAGUUUGCUGGUUUGCAUUAAUGUCAAUUACACAUUUGAGAGAA